AUUCCAGCUCCAAUAGCGUAUACUAAAGUUGUUGCAGUUAAAAAGCUCGUAGUUGGAUUUCUAAUCUCUCUUGGGGUUCCUUUUCUAAAGAAAUGUGCGACCAUUCAAGAGAGAUUAUCCUCGUGCCUAGCCUUUCUCACUUUCAUUAGUCAGGAAGGGGACGCACGUCAUUUACUGUGAGCAAAAUAGAGUGUUCAAAGCAGGCUUAGGCCAUGAAUAUAUUAGCAUGGAAUAAUAAGAUAGGACCUUGGUCUAUUUUGUUGGUUUACAUUCCAAGGUAAUGAUUAAUAGGGAUAGUUGGGGGUAUUCGUAUUCAAUUGUCAGAGGUGAAAUUCUUGGAUUUAUGGAAGACGAACUACUGCGAAAGCAUUUACCAAGGAUGUUUUCAUCA
rnacentral:rRNA from 1 species